UACGGAGGGUGCAAGCGUUAUCCGGAAUCACUGGGUUUAAAGGGUGCGUAGGCGGUUCGAUAAGUCAGAGGUGAAAGCUGGCAGCUUAACUGUCAAAUUGCCUUUGAUACUGUUGGACUUGAAUCAAGUUGAGGUAGGCGGAAUGUGACAUGUAGCGGUGAAAUGCAUAGAUAUGUCAUAGAACACCAAUUGCGUAGGCAGCUUGCUGGGCUUGAAUUGACGCUGAGGCAAGAAAGCGUGGGGAUCAAACAGG
rnacentral:rRNA from 1 species